UACGGAGGGUGCGAGCGUUAAUCGGAAUUACUGGGCGUAAAGGGUGCGUAGGUGGUUAAUUAAGUUAUCUGUGAAAUCCCCGGGCUCAACCUGGGCAGGUCAGAUAAUACUGGUUAACUCGAGUAUGGGAGAGGGUAGUGGAAUUUCCGGUGUAGCGGUGAAAUGCGUAGAGAUCGGAAGGAACACCAGUGGCGAAGGCGGCUACCUGGCCCAAUACUGACACUGAGGCACGAAAGCGUGGGGAUCAAACAGG
rnacentral:rRNA from 1 species